rnacentral:ribozyme from 1 species
GGACCCAUUUAAAGAGAUUCACCGUCGAUUGGAUAGUAUCCAUGAAAACACAACAGAGAUGAACAACAGCACUCGUGAUCUGUACAUCCAAAGGAGCAACGAAUAUGAAGAAGGC